rnacentral:rRNA from 1 species
GUAGGGGCCGAGCGUUGUCCGGAAUUACUGGGCGUAAAGCGCGCGCAGGCGGCGCCGCAAGCCUGACGUGAAAGCCCCCGGCUCAACCGGGGAGGGUCGUCGGGGACUGCGGUGCUUGAGGGCGGUAGGGGCCGGUGGAAUUCCCGGUGUAGUGGUGAAAUGCGUAGAGAUCGGGAGGAACACCAGUGGCGAAGGCGGCCGGCUGGGCCGACCCUGACGCUGAGGCGCGAAGGCGUGGGGAGCGAACGGGAUUAGAUACCCCGGUAGUCCACGCAGUAAACGAUGCAGACUAGGCGUGGGGGGACUUGACCCCCUCCGUGCCGCAGCCAACGCGACAAGUCUGCCGCCUGGGGAGUACGGCCGCAAGGCUAAA